UACCAUAUUUUCUUUAUCCAGUCUUUGCUAUUGUGAAUAGUGCUGCAAUGAACAAUGAACAUAUGCAUGCAUGUCUUUAUGACAGAAUAAUUUAUAUUCCUUUGGGUACAUACCCAAUAAUGGCAAUGCUGGGUUGAAUGAUGGUUCUGUUUUAAGUUCUUUAAGAAACCUCCAUACUGCUUUCCACAAUGGCUAAAAUAAUUUACAUUCCCACCAGCAGUGUAUAAGCAUUCCCUUUUCUCUGCAACCUUGUCAGCAUCGGAUAUUUUUUGACUUUUUAAUAUAACAAUAGCCAUUCUGACUGCUGUGAGAUGGUAUCUCAUUGUGGUUUUGAUUUGCCUUUCUCUAAUGAUUAGUGAUGUUGAGCAUUUUUUCAUAUGCUUAUUGGUUGCAUGUUGUCUUCUUUUGAAAAGUGUCUGUUCAUGUCCUUUGCCCACUUUUUAAUGGAAUUACCAUUCUUAUUUAACAAAAAUCUAGUGAAUCUUCAAUGGUGGACCUUGUAAGAUGAAUGGAAACUCCUCUUUCAGCUGGAGUGUUGUCCUUGUCUUUUGAGGCAUACCAUUAUUGUGUCAAAUUGAAAUGUUGUAUGUCUUUGACAGUCAGCUUUAUUUAAUAUAUGUGAGAUUCCCCUGGGAAUCCUAGAGGUUCUAGGUUCAUGUUGAAGCCAUGUUAGCUCACAUAUUCUUGAAAUAAUAAUAAUUAUUGGGAAAGUUUAGAAGUAAUGUCACCUUUGUAUUAAAACAGAUUACUCAGAUUACUCUUUUAAAAUUGGAAAUGUUUUUAAUAUAAAAUAUUCUGAAAAAUUAACUUCUGUUAAGCAAAUAAAUCUAUAAUCUAAAAAAAUUCUCCUGAAUUUUUUCAUUUUAGGACUUUAAUUGUAAAUUUUGUUUAGAAAUUUCUUAAUUAUAUAUGUAAAUAUUUAUUUUGUGUUUUUUUUUUUUUCACUUUUUAUGUUUUAUUGUGCAGGCAAUUAACGGCCACCACAGCUGCCCCCUCCACCUCCACCACCACAACUGCUACAUAUUGGUACAUACAAUGGGCCAUGCCCUGUGCUAGGCAUUAUGAAGAUGAUCUCUUCAAAUCCUCACAACUAUGCUUUGAGCUACAGAAAUAACGAAUGGGUACUGACAGAAGGAAAACCUGCUCAACAAGUGAAAAAAAGAAAAAGCAAAAUGGUGUAUUUUUAACAAAAUUAUACUAAGGGAAUCUAAGCCAUGUGAAGAAUGUAUCAUUACUAGAUGUGCAAACCUUUAUUCUCUGCAGAAGCUACAUCAAAGGUUCUGAA